CGGAAAUGGCGGCGGCUACACAUGCAAGUCUAGCGGAUGAUAGAGCUUGCUCUCUGAUUCACGGCGGAGGGGUGAGUAAUGCCUUCGAAUCUGCCUGGUGGUGGGGGACAACGUUUCGAAAGGAAAACUAAUACCGCAUACCUCCUACUGGAGAAAGCAGGGGACCUUCGGGCCUUGCGCUAUCACAUGAUCCUACGUCGGAUUAGCUAGGUGGUGAGGUAAUGGCUCACCAAGGCGACGAUCCAUAACUGGUAUGAGAGGAUGAUCAGUCACACUGGAACUGAGCAGUCCAUACCUCGGGAGCAGCGUGGGAAAUUUUGAACAUGGGGCAAACCUUGAUCCCACCACUGCCCGCGGGUGUGGAAGAGUUCUUGCGUAUUGAAAUCUUUUAAGUUGAGAGGAAAGGUUGUAGAUUAAUACUCCUGAGAUGUAUGACUUACGAAAAUAAGCACCGCAUAACUCUGUGCCCAGCAGCCCGCGGUAAUACAGAGGGUGCAGCGUUCAAUCAGAAUUUACUGGGUCGUAAACCGCGUAGGGUGUUUCGUAAGUUGGAUGUGAAAUCGCCGGGCUCAAUCCUGGGAACUGCAUCCAAAUACUGGGAGUAGAUAUGUAGAGGGUGGUGGAAUUUCUGUGUAGCGGUGAAAUGCGUAGAUAUAGAAGAACACCAGUGGCGAAGCAACCACCUGACUGAUACUGACACUGAGUGAAGCGUGGGAGCAAACAGAUAGAUACCCUGGUAGUCCACGCCGUAACGAGUCAAUACACGGGGGACUUGGUUUUAGUGGCAGCUACUGCAUUAAGUUGACCGCCUGGGGAUAGCCGCAGGUAAUCAAUGUAUUGACGGUGGCCCAUCAGCGGGUGGCACGCAUGCUAGGUUUAUACUAGCACCUGAAUACCAUACGCACGCUUGACAUUCCAUGACUUUCAUUAGAUCGGAAUUGGCUCGAGGACGAUUGAAUCAGGUGACUGCAUGGACUGUGUCCAGCUCUGGUCUAGAUGUUGGGUUAGUACCGUAAGCGACCACCCUUAGUCUAGCUAUCAUCACGUUAUGGGUGGCGCUUAGGGACGCGUGACACGAGAGCGGGAGUGACGAGUAUCAUGCUCGCGUGGCUACAACGGUUACAAUGUCGUCAGGUUCAGCACCUGAGUGGAGCUAAUCCCAUAAAACCGAUCGUAGUCCGGAUCGCAGUGUGCAACUCGAGCGCGUGAAGUGGGAAUCGCUAGUAAUCGCGAAUCAGAAUGUCGCGGUGAAUACGUUCCCGGGCCUUGUACACACCGCCCGUCACACCAUGGGAGUGGGUUGCACCAGAAGUAGGUAGUAUAACCUUCGGGAGGCCGGUACCACCGGUGGAUUAAAAUGGGU
rnacentral:rRNA from 1 species